rnacentral:rRNA from 1 species
AGAGCACAGGGUGGAUGCCUAGGCACUGAGAGCCGAUGAAGGACGUGAUAAGCUGCGAAAAGCCACGGGGAGGAGCAAAUAUCCUUUGAGCCGUGGAUAUCCGAAUGGGGGAACCCACUUAAGUAAACCUUAAGUACUGACAAGCCAAUACAUAACUUGCCAGAGGGAACCCGGGGAACUGAAACAUCUAAGUACCCGGAGGAAGAGAAAGAAACAUCGAUUUCCUUAGUAGCGGCGAGCGAAAGGGAAAGAGCCCAAACCGAGAGAUUUAUCUUUCGGGGUUAGGACUGCAUAAUUGAUCUGCGAUUGAUAGGAGAAUGGUCUGGGAAGUCCAGCAGGAAAGCGUGAAAGCCGCGUAUCCGAAAUUGAAAGCAGCAAGGCAGUAUCCAGAGUACCACGAGACACGAGGAACCUUGUGGGAAUGAGCGGAGACCACUCCGUAAGGCUAAAUACUACUCAGUGACCGAUAGCGCAUAGUACUGUGAAGGAAAGGUGAAAAGGACCCCGGGAGGGGAGUGAAAGAGAACCUGAAACCCUGUGUUUACAAGCUGUCGGAGCACGUUAGUGCGACGGCGUACUUUUUGUAGAACGGUCCGGCGAGUUAUGAUACGCGGUAAGGUUAAGGACUUAAGGUCCGGAGCCGAAGCGAAAGCGAGUGUUAAGAGCACGAGGAAUCACGUAUCAUAGACCCGAAACCGGGUGAUCUAUCCAUGUCCAGGAUGAAGCUGCCGUAAGAGGUAGUGGAGGUCCGAACACACAUCCGUUGAAAAGGGUGGUGAUGAGGUGUGGAUAGGGGAGAAAUUCCAAUCGAACCCGGAGAUAGCUGGUUCUCCUCGAAAUAGCUUUAGGGCUAGCCUCUGGUUAGUCUGCCGCAGGUAGAGCACUGAAUUUCCUAGGGGGCGUCAAAGCCUACCGAAGAAUAUCAAACUCCGAAUGCCAUAUAGAUGAUGUACGGGAGUCAGACUGCACGAGAUAAGUUGGGUGGUCAAAAGGGAAAGAGCCCAGACCUACAGCUAAGGUCCCAAAGUACGUGUUAAGUGGAAAAGGAUGUGGGAUUUCGAAGACAACUAGGAUGUUGGCUCAGAAGCAGCCAUACAUUCAAAGAGUGCGUAAUAGCUCACUAGUCGAGAGGUCCUGCGCCGAAAAUGUCCGGGGCUAAAACACGACACCGAAGCUUAGGAAUCAGAAAUGAUUGGUAGAGGAGCAUUCUUAAAUCAUCGAAGCUGUACCGAUAAGGAGCAGUGGAGGUUUAAGAAGAGAGAAUGCCGGAAUGAGUAGCGAGAAUGAAGUGAGAAUCUUCAUGGCCGAAUAUCCAAGGUUUCCAGGGUAAAGCUGAUCUGCCCUGGGUUAGUCGGGGCCUAAGGCGAGGCUGAGAAGCGUAGCUGAUGGACAACAGGUUGAAAUUCCUGUACUGCCUUAUAACAGAACUGUGGGGACACAUGUUCAGGUCGCGAGCCGGGAAAGGAAAGCCCGGCGCAAGCAGAGGUUAUCGGUGGGAGGCAAACCCCCCACAAAAGAGAAGACUGCGAUGCGGAGCGAAGAAAAGUAGCGAAGAGCGAUGAGAAUGUGUCGAGAAAAGCCGCUAUUGUUUAUAAGGUACCCGUACCGUAAACCGACACAGGUGGAUGAGGAGAGAAUCCUAAGGCCGGCGGGAGAAGCAUUGUUAAGGAACUCGGCAAAAUGACCCCGUAACUUCGGGAGAAGGGGUGCCCACUUCAGGGUGGGCCGCAGAGAAUAGGCUCAAGCAACUGUUUAGCAAAAACACAGGUCUAUGCAAAACCGUAAGGUGAGGUAUAUGGGCUGACGCCUGCCCGGUGCUGGAAGGUUAAGAGGAGAGGUUAGCGCAAGCGAAGCUUUGAAUUUAAGCCCCAGUAAACGGCGGCCGUAACUAUAACGGUCCUAAGGUAGCGAAAUUCCUUGUCGGGUAAGUUCCGACCCGCACGAAAGGCGUAAUGAUUUGAGCACUGUCUCGACAAUGCACCCGGUGAAAUUGAAGUACCAGUGAAGAUGCUGGUUACCUGCGCCAGGACGGAAAGACCCCAUGGAGCUUUACUCUAGUUUGGUACUGGGGUCCGGUAUUGCAUGUACAGGAUAGGUGGGAGACUGAGAAGUGUGAACGCCAGUUUGCACGGAGUCAUUGUUGGGAUACCACCCCUGCAGUAUUGGGCUUCUAACAGGUAGCCGUAAACCGGCUAAUGGACAAUGCCAGGCGGGGAGUUUGACUGGGGCGGUCGCCUCCGAAAGGGUAUCGGAGGCGCUCAAAGGUUCCCUCAGAAUGGUUGGAAACCAUUCGAAGAGUGCAAAGGCAGAAGGGAGCUUGACUGCGAGACUGACGGGUCGAGCAGGUACGAAAGUAGGACUUAGUGAUCCGGUGGCAUAAAGUGGGAUUGCCAUCGCUCAACGGAUAAAAGCUACCCUGG